rnacentral:rRNA from 1 species
GUGGGGAAUAUUGGACAAUGGGGGGAACCCUGAUCCAGCCAUGCCGCGUGUGUGAAGAAGGCCUUUUGGUUGUAAGGCACUUUAAGCGAGGAGGAGGCUACCGAGAUUAAUACUCUUGGAUAGUGGACGUUACUCGCAGAAUAAGCACCGGCUAACUCUGUGCCAGCAGCCGCGGUAAUACAGAGGGUGCAAGCGUUAAUCGGAUUUACUGGGCGUAAAGCGCGCGUAGGUGGCCAAUUAAGUCAAAUGUGAAAUCCCCGAGCUUAACUUGGGAAGUACAGUCGAUACUGGUGGGCUAGAGUAUGGGAGAGGAUGGUAGAAUUCCAGGUGUAGCGGUGAAAUGCGUAGAGAUCUGGAGGAAUACCGCUGGCGAAGGCAGCCAUCUGGCCUAAUACUGACACUGAGGUGCGAAAGCAUGGGGAGCAAACAGGAUUAGAUACCCUGGUAGUCC